rnacentral:lncRNA from 1 species
AUGUAUCCUUCAGUACAGCAGGAAGCUCUUGUCUGCAAAGAACAGCCAACUAUCAGAACUGUCACAUGCAAGUAUUUUUUAAAGGAUUAUUUCAGGAAAAAGCACGUGCUCUGUGAAAAUGCAAUUAUAGCUUUUCUGCUCUCUCUACACCUCUCCCUGUUUUUUGGCUGGAGGAUUAGUUGCUUCAGGAACCAACAAUCUCAUUCUCUUCUAAGCUUCAGGAGCCAGCCAACAGGACAUUAUCACACAAGACUUGCACCAGGGCUUGCUUCUGACCAGUGUGCAUCUGAAGACCGUCUCUCCACCUGCACGACCUCAAAAAGUCAAGACAGCUUUAGGGACCCAAGGGGAGGUUGGAAAUCCUCAGUACUCCCAGGAUCGAAGAGCCCAUCCAUGUAUGUGCUUAAAGGAACACAUUCUGCCUGCACCCUGAAAUGCAUCGGUCACAGUACUUCCCACCAGCAGAUCCUCUCCAUCUCUGGUGGGCCUAUCCAGGAGAAAGCGAAAGGAAGAGAAGGCUGUUUUUGUAGCACUUGAUUACUAAAAGGAAGCCAGAAGGAACUGUGUUUCUAUGGUGGCAAAUAGCAACAGUAGCAGCCGGAGGUCUCCAGGUAAGACAGUUCAUCCUCUAAAUUUUCACAGAUCCAUGAGAUCAGGUUAGUUUGUAAAUCUGGACUUUCCUUCACAGUUUCCUUUUUCCCAGGGAGAAUCAUGGCAUUAAAUACCCAAUGCCAUGCUCCCACUCUCUGUGCUAGUAGCUCAUAUUUGGAUGAGGAAGUCUACCAUAGAAGGGCCUCCUGGGUCCAGGAAGGAUGUCAUGGAUGUGGCAAGCACACUGUGAGCCCACGGGACACUUUUUUUGGGUGAUGUUUCUCCACCUCCCCCCCUUUGUGGUUCAUCUGCACCUUCAGGUGCCAAGCUACACCUUCCUCCCAGCAGCCAAAUGCAGACAGUUGGGUUUGUCACAUUCUUACGGAUUAGCCACACAUGGGAAACCAAGGCUUUCUC